rnacentral:rRNA from 1 species
CCUACGGGUGGCUGCAGUGAGGAAUAUUGGUCAAUGGCCGGAAGGCUGAACCAGCCAAGCCGCGUGAAGGACGAAGGUGCCAAGCAUUGUAAACUUCUUUUGUCAAGGGACAAAAUCAGGCUCGAGAGCCUGACCGAGGGUACUUGAAGCAAAAGCAUCGGCUAACUCCGUGCCAGCAGCCGCGGUAAUACGGAGGAUGCGAGCGUUAUCCGGAUUGCUUGGGUUUAAAGGGUGCGUAGGCGGGCUGUUAAGUCCGCGGUAAAAGCCCGGGGCGGAACCCCGGCGGGCCGUUGAACCGGGCUGUCGUGAGAGGGCGGGAGGUAUGCGGAAUGCGCAGGGGAGCGGUG